CAGCAGCCGCGGGAAUACGGAGGGUGCAAGCGUUAAUCGGAAUUACUGGGCGUAAAGCGUGCGUAGGCGGUUCGUUAAGUCUGUUGUGAAAGCCCCGGGCUCAACCUGGGAAUGGCAAUGGAUACUGGCGAGCUAGAGUGUGUCAGAGGAUGGUGGAAUUCCCGGUGUAGCGGUGAAAUGCGUAGAGAUCGGGAGGAACAUCAGUGGCGAAGGCGGCCAUCUGGGACAACACUGACGCUGAGGCACGAAAGCGUGGGGAGCAAACAGGAUUAGAUACCCGGGUAGUCCCUGUCUCUUAUAC
rnacentral:rRNA from 1 species